rnacentral:ncRNA from 2 species
UAGGGUUGCGUCGGUGCCGGUUCCCGGAAACGGGAUUGAAAGGGAACACGGGACGGCAGGGCUUGCGACGACCGCGUCCGCCCCGCCGAGCCGUGGCUGCCCCCGCAACUGUGCGCGGCGAGUCUCCGCCCCACCUGAAACCAUGGCCACUGGCACAGCCGGGAAGGCCGCGGAUGGAGACGACGACCCGCAAGCCAGGAGACCUGCCGGCGCAAGCGUCGCCUU